AGAGUUUGAUCCUGGCUCAGAUUGAACGCUGGCGGCAGGCUUAACACAUGCAAGUCGAACGAUGACUCUCUAGCUUGCUAGAGAAGAUUAGUGGCGGACGGGUGAGUAACAUUUAGGAAUCUGCCUAGUAGUGGGGGAUAGCUCGGGAAAACUCGAAUUAAUACCGCAUACGACCUACGGGUGAAAGGGGGCGCAAGCUCUUGCUAUUAGAUGAGCCUAAAUCAGAUUAGCUAGUUGGUGGGGUAAAGGCCUACCAAGGCGACGAUCUGUAACUGGUCUGAGAGGAUGAUCAGUCACACCGGAACUGAGAC
rnacentral:rRNA from 1 species